UUUUCAUUGCCAUUUAGUUUUCUUUUUAAAUAUACAACUAUACUUUACAUAUUCCACAACACAUAGAACAUUUUAUUCAUAAUAUAUGGUUCUUAAUAUGAGAAAUUACAACCCAUAGAUAGUGGUUCACGUGAUUUUAUCAAAAUACUCAUAAACAUCAAAAUUAAAGUACCUAAAACAUUAAAUAUUUUUAGAAUGACACCUUAUUGAAAAGGAAAUGGACUCGUUAAAAAUAAUUAUUACAACAACAACAAUAAUAAUGACAUCGUAGUUAUGGUUGAUGAUCGCGAAAUUUCUUUAUCUUUCUCAUCAUCUAUUUCCAGGACCUCGAGGGCUCUUAUUCCCCGGAUCAACAAUUCCUUUUUCUGGAUGACCCCAAUCUCUCCCUAUCACUGAUAAUCAGAAUAAAAAAACAUUGUCAGUCAGAAACAUUCUUUCAGUUACAUGAUCUUUUUUCAUAGAAGUUUGACAAACAAAACGUAAAAAAGAAUCUUAUAGAAUCCAUUUUUUUGGAUAUCGCUCCCAAUAAAAAAUCAAAAAAUCAUAUAUACCUGUUGUAGCCAUUCUUGUGGGAACAAGUAAACCAGCCAAAAAUAUAAAGAAAACGAACAAGGUAAGUGUAGCUUUGUCUAACAUUUUUAUCAAGCACUUAAGAAAAUAAAUUACUUUUUGCAUGUGAGAUCGACUAGUGUCAAUUUAUUUAUUUUAGAAGGGUUCA
rnacentral:lncRNA from 1 species